CAGGGCCACUCUUCAUCAACAAAGAGGAGGAUUGGUAGCAAAUGUUAGCUUAGGGCUAAUCUUCCUCAAAAAAAAAAAAAAAGAAUGGAUGUAUGAAUAAAUUGACUGGAAAGUUCAGUGUCCAAGACAGAUUGUAGAAUAUGUAGAGUAUGAUGCUUUUGUAUGAAAUAGAGGAUAUGCAUAUAGGUACAAAGAAAUAUUUAUAUAAAAUAUACAAUGAGUAAAUGUAAGCACUUGGAAAAUAUCUGGAAGAAUCACAUAAGGACCUGUGGGAGUGGGACUUCAGUUUUCAUUCCAUGUCUUUCUUGUUUGAAAUCUCAAGUCAGUGACAAACAUGCCGUCGACAAGUGUGUACUGAUGACUUCUUAGCAUUCAGGACUGCACUGGCUUAUGAGGGAUACAGAAGGGCUGGCCAUCUGUGUCUUAGGCCUUGUUUGUGGAGACGUUUGCUCUGUUUUGUUGCCUUGUAUCUGUUUUGAAGAUGGGAAAGAAGGAAAAAGGGGAGUACAGGUGGUUACUAGGUGGGGUUGAAGAAGGGGAGCAGCAAGAUGCCAAGCAGAGCAGAGGGGACCCACUGUGUGGGCUGUGAAUUCCGUUCUCAGGGAGCCUCAUUCUACACAAGGAGACAGUCUAACGUCAAAUGUGGCUCACAAAAAGUGUGUUAAUAGGUGGAAAGACUAUCUCGCAGUUGGACAAUGGAUGUCUGGGACUCGAUCCUUGCUUUCAAAGUUCCCUUGAAAAAGGUAAAUAUUUUGUAAUAUCCCUUCUACUCUCCUGAAGUGAUAUUCGUAGAUGUUUAAAACCUGCUUCCAUACUUAAUUUCAAUGAAAACAAAUCAGUGUAAUGCUCUAACUACAAUAUUAAGAACAAAUAAAAGUAGUUUAUAAUAAAGUAA